UACGAAGGGGGCUAGCGUUGCUCGGAAUUACUGGGCGUAAAGCGCACGUAGGCGGCUUCUUCAGUCGGUGGUGAAAUCCUGGAGCUCAACUCCAGAACUGCCUUCGAUACUGGGAAGCUCGAGUCCGGGAGAGGUGAGUGGAACUGCGAGUGUAGAGGUGAAAUUCGUAGAUAUUCGCAAGAACACCAGUGGCGAAGGCGGCUCACUGGCCCGGUACUGACGCUGAGGUGCGAAAGCGUGGGGAGCAAACAGG
rnacentral:rRNA from 1 species